UCCUAGCCCAGAUAGUAGUGGAAAUCCUUUAUGUUUUUUCUUUAAAAACAUAAAGAUUGCAACGAAUAGCUGGAAAAGGC
rnacentral:sRNA from 1 species